UGUGAAUAUAAGUAUGUGUGAAUGUGCAUGUGUGUUAUAUAAAUACAUUGUCAUAUAAAUGCAGACUUAUAUAUUGGGAAAUGUUCACAA
rnacentral:pre_miRNA from 1 species